rnacentral:rRNA from 1 species
GACAGUUCGGUCCCUAUCCGGCGCGGGCGUAAGAUGUUUGAAAGGAGCUGUCCUUAGUACGAGAGGACCGGGAUGGACAGACCGCUGGUGUAUCUGCUGCACCGCCAGGUGCAUGAGGCAGGGUAGCCAAGUCUGGCAGGGAUAAACGCUGAAGGCAUCUAAGCGUGAAGCCCCCCUUAAGAUGAGACAUCAGAAAGACCCCUUAGAGAGUAUGAGGUAGAUAGGCCUGAGGUGUAAGUACCGUGAGGUAUUCAGCUGACAGGUACUAAUAGGUCGGAAGCUUAUCCU